UACGUAGGGUGCAAGCGUUGUCCGGAAUUAUUGGGCGUAAAGAGCUCGUAGGCGGCUCGUCGCGUCGGCUGUGAAAACCCGGGGCUCAACCCCGGGCCUGCAGUCGAUACGGGCGGGCUAGAGUCCGGUAGGGGAGACUGGAAUUCCUGGUGUAGCGGUGAAAUGCGCAGAUAUCAGGAGGAACACCGGUGGCGAAGGCGGGUCUCUGGGCCGAUACUGACGCUGAGGAGCGAAAGCGUGGGGAGCGAACAGG
rnacentral:rRNA from 1 species